rnacentral:lncRNA from 1 species
UUUUAAAUGCUCCCUGAUAGGGUCAAAGGAGCUCUUGGUGGUUUUCCAUCCAGAGUGUUUUUGGGAUUUUUUGGUUUUUUCUUAAUAAUAUGGCAUCUGACUCUGUAUUCUGCACUUGGGCAUAGUCUGGUCUUACAUCAGGUCUCUGCCAGCUGUUGUCGAGAGGCCUCUAGUGUAAUAACCACAGUUUGUGAUGAACAGUACAUUUUGGAAACCUUCAGACAGGUGAUGUUUACUGAGCUGUUUCUACUCUGAGUUUGUAUAAUACCUCUUUUCUUUUCUUCUCUUCUCUUUUCUCUUCUCUUCUUUUCUUCUUCUUUUUUUUUUUUUUCAUUGCUGCAUUACCCAACAUUGUUUUGGUUCAAUGAGGAGUAUUUGUUGGCACAGACUCGUGUUUGUGAAGUGCUGCCUGAGAAAACAGAUCUCUGAAGGUGGGGGCUGUGUGCAGAAUCCUGUUUUAAUACUUGGGGUUUCUAGUCAGGGCGUUAGUCAGACUGGAACUGUUCUAAUGGGACUCUCCACGUCGUUAUAAGUGAUCAUAUUAAGACGAAAUUCCUUCUGGUUGGGAGAUGUUUAUGAUAGGGAUUAUAAAGCGUUGGCUCUACUUAAAAGAUCUUAAUUAUGACAUGUCAUUUUCCAUGUAAAAUUACACUCGCAGAAAAUGUUCUUUAAAAUUUCAAACAUUAAAAAUCUCUUAGAAAUC